AUAUCAAUAAGCGGAGGAAAAGAAACCAACAGGGAUUGCCUCAGUAACGGCGAGUGAAGCGGCAACAGCUCAAAUUUGAAAUCUGGCCCCCAGGCCCGAGUUGUAAUUUGUAGAGGAUGCUUCUGGCGACGCGACUUCCGAGUUCCCUGGAACGGGACGCCAAAGAGGGUGAGAGCCCCGUCCGGUCGUUCGCCUAGCCUCUGUGAAGCUCCUUCGACGAGUCGAGUAGUUUGGGAAUGCUGCUCUAAAUGGGAGGUAUACGUCUUCUAAAGCUAAAUACCGGCCAGAGACCGAUAGCGCACAAGUAGAGUGAUCGAAAGAUGAAAAGCACUUUGAAAAGAGGGUUAAAUAGCACGUGAAAUUGCUGAAAGGGAAGCGCUUAUGACCAGACUUGGGCCAGGUGAAUCAUCCGGCGUUCUCGCCGGUGCACUUUGCCUGCCCAGGCCAGCAUCAGUUCGCUCCGGGGGAUAAAGGCUUCGGGAAUGUAGCUCCUCCGGGAGUGUUAUAGACCGUUGCGUAAUACCCUGGGGUGGACUGAGGUACGCGUUCUGCAAGGAUGCUGGCGUAAUGGUCAUCAGUGACCCGUCUUGAAACACGGACC
rnacentral:rRNA from 1 species